rnacentral:rRNA from 1 species
UACGUAGGGGGCAAGCGUUGUCCGGAUUUAUUGGGCGUAAAGCGCGCGUAGGCGGCAAGGUAUGUCGUGCGUGAAAUCUCCCGGCUUAACUGGGAGGGGCCGUGCGAAACUGCCUGGCUUGAGGUCGGAAGGGGAAAGUGGAAUUCCGGGUGUAGUGGUGGAAUACGUAGAUAUCCGGAGGAACACCAGCGCGAAGGCGGCUUUCUGGUCCGAUUCUGACGCUGAGGCG